rnacentral:rRNA from 1 species
UUUAACGGCCUCGGUACCCUAACCGCGCGAAGGUAGCAUAAUCACUUGUUCUUUAAAUAGGGACUUGUAUCAACGGCACCACGAGGGCUAAACUGUCUCCCCUCUCCAAUCAAUGAACCUGAUCUCUUCGUGAAGAAGCGAAGAUUAACAUAUAAGACGAGAAGACCCCAUGGAGCUUAAAACCAAAUAACACCUCACUACCCACAGAACUUAAUAAAUAGUAAGCCUGUUAGCUAGUUUUCGGCUGGGGCAUCCAAGGAGUAUAACACAACCUCCUUGAAAAAAUCUAAGAGCCACAACUCUAUGAAACAGUAACCUGAUCUAAAACGACCCGACCCAAUUCGAUCAACGAACCAAGUUACCCUGGGGAUAACAGCGCAAUCCACUUCAAGAGCCCCUAUCGACAAGUGGGUUUACGACCUCGAUGUUGGAUCAGGGUACCCCAGUGGUGCAGCCGCUACUAAAGGUUCGUUUGUUCAACGAUUAAAACCCU